UGAGCUCGAGAAUGGGGAGAAAACUCGCCCAUUUUCGGUCUGAGGGCCUUUUAUAGGUGGCCGGUCAACCACCUUCGGCGGCCUAAGCUGCUUCCGCAACUUCACCACCUUCGGCAGCCUAAAGUGCCUCCUAAACUAUCCCAUGUUCGGCGGCCGAACCUGGUUUAUGCCCUCAAAGCUUUCGGAGGCCUAAAGCACUCCCGAAAUAGCCCCAUGUUCGGCGGCCGAACCUGGGUCCUUCCUCCUUGGCCUUUUCUUUUCGAAACUCAAUUUCUUUUCCAUUUAAAACCAUAAAAUCAUGUGAAAACAUUUUAGAAACACAUUUUACCCCUCUAGAGGACUCUAGCAUCAUCAGAAUUCCAGAUUCCAGCGAAGAUUCCGCCGGAAGGUAGGGAUUCCGAUGCCGGAAUCUAGCCGGGUAUUACAUACCCCCUCGCCACUCUUGUAAUAAUUGCCAAGGAGGUAAAGGGGCAAUUGAUGACCGCCGGGCUUCCUUUACCCUGGGCGAGGUCGAGCCCAAGAGGAGAACAAUGGCCCAAAGCCCAUCAAGCCCUCCUUAGACUGACCAACUCAGCAUCUCAGGCCU
rnacentral:lncRNA from 1 species